rnacentral:rRNA from 1 species
UAAUGUAUGGGGAUCUGCCCGAUGAGGGGAUAACUACUGGAAACGGUGGCUAAUACCGCAUAAUGUCUACGGACCAAAGCAGGGGCUCUUCGGACCUUGCACUAUCGGAUGAACCCAUAUGGGAUUAGCUAGUAGGUGGGGUAAAGGCUCACCUAGGCGACGAUCUCUAGCUGGUCUGAGAGGAUGAUCAGCCACACUGGGACUGAGACACGGCCCAG